AUUGAACGCUGGCGGCAUGCCUUACACAUGCAAGUCGAACGGCAGCGGGCCUUCGGGUGCCGGCGAGUGGCGAACGGGUGAGUAAUGCAUCGGAACGUGCCAUUGAGUGGGGGAUAACGUAGCGAAAGUUGCGCUAAUACCGCAUAUUCUGUGAGCAGGAAAGCAGGGGACCGCAAGGCCUUGCGCUCUUUGAGCGGCCGAUGUCAGAUUAGCUAGUUGGUGAGGUAAAGGCUUACCAAGGCGACGAUCUGUAGCGGGUCUGAGAGGAUGAUCCGCCACACUGGAACUGAGACACGGUCCAGACUCCUACGGGAGGCAGCAGUGGGGAAUUUUGGACAAUGGGGGCAACCCUGAUCCAGCCAUGCCGCGUGAGUGAAGAAGGCCUUCGGGUUGUAAAGCUCUUUCGGCCGGGAAGAAAUCGCAUGGGUGAAUACCCUGUGUGGAUGACGGUACC
rnacentral:rRNA from 1 species